GACGAACGCUGGCGGCGUGCUUCAUACAUGCAAGUCGAACGAGAAGCAAGAGCUUGCUCUUGUGGAAAGUGGCGGACGGGUGAGUAACACGUAGGAAAUCUGCCCUUUAGCGGGGGACAACAGUUGGAAACGACUGCUAAUACCCCAUAUGAGCUAAGUUGAAAUACUUAUCUUGAAAACUCCGGUGCUAAAGGAUGAGCCUGCGCCUGAUUAGCUAGUUGGCGGGGUAACGGCCCACCAAGGCGACGAUCAGUAGCCGGACUGAGAGGUUGAACGGCCACAUUGGGACUGAGACACGGCCCAG
rnacentral:rRNA from 1 species